rnacentral:rRNA from 1 species
CCUCGGGAGGCAGCAGUGGGGAAUCUUGCACAAUGGAGGAAACUCUGAUGCAGCGAUGCCGCGUGAGUGAAGAAGGCCUUUGGGUUGUAAAGCUCUUUUGUAGGGGAAGAUAAUGACUGUACCCUAAGAAUAAGGUCCGGCUAACUUCGUGCCAGCAGCCGCGGUAAUACGAAGGGACCUAGCGUAGUUCGGAAUUACUGGGCGUAAAGCGCGCGUAGGCCGUUGAGUUAGUUAAUUGUGAAAUCCCAAAGCUUAACUUUGGAACUGCAAUUAAAACUGCUCGACUAGAGUUUGAUAGAGGAAAGCGGAAUACAUAGUGUAGAGGUGAAAUUCGUAGAUAUUAUGUAGAACACCAGUUGCGAAGGCGGCUUUCUGGAUCAACACUGACGCUGAGGCGCGAAAGUAUGGGUAGCAAAGAGGAUUAGAUACCCUCGUAGUCCAUACCAUAAACGAUGAUUGCUAGAUGUUGGAAAUUUAUUUUCAGUAUCGCAGCUAACGCAUUAAGCAAUCCGCCUGGGGAUACGACCGCAAGGUUAAACUUAAGAUAUGCGNGNGAGAGCGACGACGACGACGACGGAGGAG